CAAGUUGUCCUCUAUCUUUUCACCACAAGAAUGUAUUGAUGGUCCUGUCAGAUUCCACAAACCCUCAUAUCAUUCUUUGAAAUACAAUUUGCUUACUCCUGUUUCUGGGCCCCAGAUUUGAAUCUGAUUUCCUGGUUCAUUUCCAGCCAGAGAGAAUAGACCCCAGCGCGUCCAGGCAAGGCUACGACGUCCGUUCAGACGUUUGGAGUUUGGGAAUCACACUGUAUGAGCUGGCCACGGGACGGUUUCCCUACCCGAAGUGGAACAGUGUGUUUGACCAGUUGACCCAGGUGGUGAGAGGAGACCCUCCACAGCUCAGCAACUCGGAGGAGAGGCGCUUCUCCCCCAAAUUCAUCGCCUUUGUCAACUUGUGCCUUACGAAGGAUGAGUCGAAGAGGCCAAAGUACAAAGAGCUACUGAAAGAUCCGUUCAUUCAGAUGUACGAGGAGCGUUCGGCCGACGUAGCCGGUUACGUCUGCAGGAUCCUCGAUCAGAUGCCGGCGUCUCCUAGCUCCCCAAUGUAUAUGGACUGAAAGCUGAACAAAAACAAAAACACAUCAAAGUAUACACCAGUCUGCAACAAUAAAGACAGUGGAUGAAAAAAAAAAAAAAAGACAACAAAGUAAAGAAAACAAAUCCUCAUGUAAAUUUGCUUGGUCCCCUUAUUGCAGUGUUAAAAGAAAAUUGUAAAGCCUAAGUAAAAAAAACAAAAAAACAACAAAACACCAUUUGCAAUAAAAAUGGUGUUCAUUUCAGUCAUGUCUGUAUAAUAUAUAAACGUUAACACACUUCUGUUUCUCUCUUGUUCACAAACACACACUGACGCACAGUCACGUAAGUAUAAUAGCAGCUGAAUCAGUCAAUUGUGGUCUUGACUCCUCUCGAUGAGGAUGCAUCUCAGUGAUUAGUAGUGAUUUAAAAAAAUAAGAAAAUGGAAAAAAAAGAAAAGCAAAAUAACCUGGAACUUGUAUUUAUAGAAACCAAAAUCAAGUGGAGUAUCUGAUUUGGAGAUUCUUCAACAUACUGGAA